CGAGCGAUUUACUUCGGUAAAGAGCGGCGGACGGGUGAGUAACGCGCCCUUUAACCUGCCCUAUACACACGGAUAACAUACCGAAAGGUAUGCUAAUACGAGAUAAAGUACUUUUAUCGCAUGGUAGAAGUAUCAAAGCUUUUGCGGUACAGGAUGGACCCGCGUCUGAUUAGCUAGUUGGUAAGGUAACGGCUUACCAAGGCGACGAUCAGUAGCCGACCUGAGAGGGUGAUCGGCCACAUUGGAACUGAGACACGGUCCAAACUCCUACGGGAGGCAGCAGUGGGGAAUAUUGCACAAUGGGCGAAAGCCUGAUGCAGCAACGCCGCGUGAGCGAUGAAGGCCUUCGGGUCGUAAAGCUCUGUCCUCAAGGAAGAUAAUGACGGUACUUGAGGAGGAAGCCCCGGCUAACUACGUGCCAGCAGCCGCGGUAAUACGUAGGGGGCUAGCGUUAUCCGGAAUUACUGGGCGUAAAGGGUGCGUAGGUGGUUUCUUAAGUCAGAGGUGAAAGGCUACGGCUCAACCGUAGUAAGCCUUUGAAACUGGGGAACUUGAGUGCAGGAGAGGAGAGUGGAAUUCCUAGUGUAGCGGUGAAAUGCGUAGAUAUUAGGAGGAACACCAGUUGCGAAGGCGGCUCUCUGGACUGUAACUGACACUGAGGCACGAAAGCGUGGGGAGCAAACAGGAUUAGAUACCCUGGUAGUCCACGCCGUAAACGAUGAGUACUAGCUGUCGGAGGUUACCCCCUUCGGUGGCGCAGCUAACGCAUUAAGUACUCCGCCUGGGAAGUACGCUCGCAAGAGUGAAACUC
rnacentral:rRNA from 1 species